rnacentral:lncRNA from 1 species
CGCAGGAACCCUAAUGAUCUCCUCUUCGUCAUUCUCCUGGGUGCGCCGUCUCACUAUCUCGCUAGCCCCCCUUGCACGAGAUCCUACUUGCCUGUUCAUGGCUACACAGUCUAGCUUGAUACCCACGCAAAACACACCACGGGGGUGGAACGUGGUUAUCCAAAAGAAUAAAAACUCUGUAUGCAAUACAGGACUCCGUGUAAAAGAGAGGAGUGUCGGUAGUCUCCCUCUCUUCUUCCUCCUGCACUUUUCUCCUUCACAGAACCAAGAUCGCCGUAGUCGUCUCCAAAACCCUAGCGGCGGCUAAAAGGCUGUGUAAUUUAUUAAUCCUUUUUUGAACUUUUUCUCGCUGCGGAAAAAAAGAAGAACUGUUAUCUUUUUGACAAAAAAUAUCUGUUAUAUUGCGAUCAAUAUUGAUUUUAUUAUUUUAGCAUAUAAGGACUAACAAUAUAUGUGUAAGCCUAAUUUUUAAACAUUGAAAAAGUCGUAGCCGUGGGGAGCUAAGAGAGAUCCACAUAGCCAAGCUUCCUAAGUAUCAUAUUCCCCGGUAAAGAUAGCAUCAAAUCCUACAUUGACAACUUAGGACAGUAUUAUUAUCUAUGCAAUCAUUCAGGUGAAAAGAAUAGUACAAUUUUUUAUACAUAACUCACUUAUACCCAACUCACUUAUACCUGGAACCUACAAAAAGCCUAGAGGGUUGGAAACCUCCAUAUGCGCCAGACCUGGGUGGAAAACAAUCCAAACCAAACCAGUUGUGUUAUCAUCAUCCAUACAGGAGUUCUCAACAACAUAGCUUAGGUUAUAUAUGAAUCUUAAAAUAAAUAAAUAAACUCAAUAGGUAAAAAGCAACAGGUAGAAACUUUUUGUUGUUCUAGUAAAAUUUGGAUCAUUAGUUGACACAUACUCUAGUAGACUCAUUAGUUGACACAUACUCUAGUGGAAGAACAAAAGCUUCUGAAGGAGUUUCAAUUGACUGCUUAUUCGAGUUAUUUUUAAGGAAUAGCAGCGAACAUGGUGAUCGACGGUGGGAGUGUCUAGUGGGGCCGAUGAGAACGCUGAUGCUUCCCUGUCGAAUCUGCUGUGCUGAUCUACCUCAUGUUGUUUUAAAUCCGAUGUACAUCUCAUAAUCAGCAAGGCAUGCUAUUCUCACCCGGCUGCAGUGCCUCGUUUUGUACAGAGACUAAAAUAUCAAGUUAUUUCCUCUGAAAAUAUCAUUUCGUUAAUGCAAGAACAAAUACUGUUAUAACAUUUGGUUAUUUCACGUGAAAUCAUGGCAAAGCUUAAUAAGAACCUAAAGCUUAUGCUUAAAACAUCAGACUUCCCUGAAGCAAAAACUUUCCCCUCAUGGCAUACUCUGUGAAAUAUACCCGCUGAAAUCAAGAAUCAUAGGUGUACCGAUGUGGUGAUUGGUGAGGAUUAAAUUCUCAAGAGAAAGAGUCCAACCAAGUAUUGUUACUGUCCAGUGUCAUGUGACACUACUCUAUAAAGUCGUCCCAACAGUCAAAACAACCAACUAUUUCUGGAACCAGAGUUUUAUGAUGAGUCCAUCUCUGGCUUAACCUGUCCCCCCAAAAAAGCAAAGUAAAAGCCCAUUAGCAAAGCUUCUUCUGACCAAGCUGAUCAGCCAUUACAACUUACUCGUUCUUCUGCAUAGCUUUCUUGGCUAGCUCAUAGCCAAGGUUCAUGGCACCAAGAGGAGCCACCCAGAAGAACCUCGGGACUGCUCCUUUGAACAAACCAAGCGGUCGGAUCGAGAAAGCAACCAUUGACAUUGAGAUCGGUCUCCCUGGUUUUGCAGUCGUCAUUCUCGUCUUCAUCACAUCAAAUGGCGUUGUUACAACUGCUACUAUGCCUCCUGACACCGCUCCAACCGCUAUUGUCUCCCAUGCCUCUAGUUAUCUUCCCAGUGCUUGCGCCACCAUCUACAAAAACCCACACAAUCCUAUCAUCUCGGCUUUUAAUGACCCUUUUGAUCAUCUAAUCAUCUGGGUUGUGUUACCUUUUUGGACUCUGCAUACAGUCCCAUGCCAACAACGUAUAGUGGAACUUCACGGCAAAGAGUUGGGCCUGUCCCACGGAAAAAGCCCCCUGGACCUUCUUGCUUCCACGUCCCUACAAUGGCUUCCCCUACACCGUUAAACAUGCCAGCCUGCAACCUUUGCUUCAGGCUUGAUCUUCCAAGUUUAAAAAUAAGUCAAACUAUGUUAUUGUAUUCGCCUUUUACAAAGUAUCAACGCAGUAAGAAUACCUCAAUCCUAAGGACAUUUAGUCAAUAUCUAAUAACCAAGGAGAGAGGCAACUCUUCUACACUGGUUUCAAGAUUAAACAAAACACAACAUAUGUUGGAAAAUCUUGUUAACCAAGGCUAUGAUGUGACAAAAAAAAAACUAAGGCUAUGAUGUUACAAAAAAAAACUAAGGCUAUGAUAUUCAACAGCAUAGCUAGGAGUGAAAAUCAGCAACUAACCAGCUGUCUCACGAUUGAUUUACAUUUUGAAAGAAAAAAAAGGAACCUGCCAAGAUUCGGGGCCUUUGAAAGAGUUAAACACAUUCAUUAUUUUCACAUAAUGAACACAGUUUUAUUCUCACCUUUGCAUUGUAAUUAGACUAUAGGCUUAGUUGAGCCACUCCUCAUGAAAAUCUUAAUCGAGUCUGGUCUAACUUUUUGUGAUACCACUGUUCAUGUGAGCCAUCACAACUCUGUCAUCCUGAAAAAAGUAGUGUAACUUAAAAGCUGAAAGGAAGUGAUCAGAUCAAAUUUCUUAUAAACGGUGAGACUAUGUCUUUACCUGUGAGCGACCCGAAGAAGAUAAAACAUAAUACAAAACCUCGAGAUUCCCAAGCCGUAGGGAAUUUGUAUUCAAUCAAUGUAUGAGUAGGAGAUGUACGCAAGUGAGCUUUGUUGCUGUGAAGUAUGAGGAGUAGUUGGAGCUCCUGUAGAUUUUCUCCGACGAUUAGCUAAUCUGCAUAUUUGGAUGGUUUUUAAUGUUUGUCUCAGCUAUUAAGUCGGAUAAUUGAAGCUAAAACCUACAGAGAGAGAAAUAUGUUAUCAACGAACUAUAUAUUAGAUUUACCGUAUAGAUCGGCUCUCCUGUAGCAGUUCGCAUUGAACUAUUUGAUCGAAUGAAACCUGAACCUAGCUUUGGAGGCCGUAGAUUUUGAUUGAUGUAAAAGGGUUUUAUAUAGAAAAGAUAAACAAAGGAGAUUAAACAAAAUCAUAAAGAAAGGAGUAAAGAACAUAUUGAAUCAUUUACAGUGAUCGUGGUAACGGUGAAUAUCAGAGAGUUGAAACGGUGAAGACGAAAAGUUAGAGGAGUAGAUCCUCUUGAGAGGCGGAGACCCUCGUCUUCACCGUCAGGUUUGUUUUUUUUUAAUUGAACAGCGUGGAUUAAUGAAAUGUUUUUAUUGGCUAAAUAUAAUUGUCGACGUGGACAUCCUAUAAUCCCUUUAUAUUUGGCUUUUAGUAUAGAAUAGAUGGGUUCAUCAUGUGUUAUUCUUUUGUUAAUCAGAGUAUGUAUGCAUCUAGGGAUAAUUGGUAUCAUGUAAAUACGAAGGAUAAAUAUACAUACAAUUUUUUAUUUUGCUACUGUAAUUGAGAUUUUCUUCUUUUCUUUAUUAAAAAGGUAUAAACUGUAAGGUUUUCUUCUUCUCCUGGUGAUAUACUUGAACAUACUCUUAAGAUAUACACAGAUAUACAGAUAUGGAUCAUGUGAAUACCACCACAUAUCACCAAUCAAGGAUCCAAUAAUUGUGGUUGUCAAAUAUUGAUUCUGAGAUCUCAUCCAAUAGCACAUAAAAUAGUAAACUAGAUUAGUUUUAACGUAAAACAAAGAUGAUAUAUGUAGUGAUUAGUGAAGAAAUCCUUUGAGUUGUUAACAGGAUAGGGAUUAUGAAGAACUUGUUAGCUUAUAGUGCUUGGAUAUUAGAUAACGAAAACAUCUUACCAUACAAAAACCUAGUAAACACUUGUAACUAAUACAGAAACAGAGGGAGGGAAGAGUAUACCUGGAAAUGAAAGACUGAGGCGAGCAGAAGAAGAGACAAAAGCAAAUGUGAAGAUGAGUAACAAACAUAACACAACCGAGGAAGAUGAUGCAUAACCCAUUCUCUCUCUAUAUAUAUUUCUCUCUCUCUCCUCCCUUCUUCUAUAUAUAUAGACCACAAAAUGUCUCACACCGGCCCUUCGUUUUUCAGCCUUUUCUCACAUUAUUUAAUCAUUUUGAUUUUUAUUAAUAUACCCGCUUCCAAACGUUUAGUUUUACAUAAUUGCGUUUGAAAGGAACAUAUUCUCUACUGGAGUAUAAUCUAAUGGUUUUGUAUUCAAUGCGUGUAUAUGCAUGUGUUUGUUGUUGACAAGCACAAAAACAAGGGAACAUGAUUGCAUUUACAUACGGUAAGUUUGACAAGACUGAAGUGGGAUCCCUCUAAACCAUCAACGAAUUAAAAUUCAUUUUUUCAUUGCAUUGGUUACAACAAAACUCAAAUGCCAGCUUGGAGUAGUCCAGUGCAUGCAACUGUAUAGAAUAGUUCCAUACUUUCAUUGUACAAAUUAAAAACUUUGUUACUUAUCACAACAUUCAAUUAGGAUAUAAUCAUAACAUAAAAACAAGUCUAAUACAGACCACUCGAGUCUAGAUUAUCAAGAACAAGAAAGCAUCAUGUCUGGUUUUGUACCCCAUCAACUUAAGAUUCUCUGGAACAUAGGCAACACACAAGUUUACACAUACAUAGCAUAAGAGAUCCAAGUACUUCAAGCAAGCAUAGGAUCGGAUAAAUCGGAAAAUACAUCAUCAUCAUCAUCGUUUUUUGAAACCAUAUUUCUUACGUUCAUAGAAGAGAUCAGUCUUGGCACUCCCAAGGUUGACGAUCUUGGGGCAGCCAUCUCUGUCUUUCUCCUGCUGCGUACACUCCUUGCAGUAGUAAGCAUCCGAGAUCCCAACACCUCCGCAGAUAACACAGCGGCCUUGGAAUGACCCGUAGUUGCAUUCGUCACAGAUACGCACCAGAGUGCAGGGACGCACAUAAGAAUCACAAACCACGCAUUUGCCGUCGCAUUUUUCGCAGAGUCGUCCGAUGGCAAUGCCUGGUUGUUUCCGGCACAUGAUGAGAUCAGGGUGAUGCUUUGCCAUGGCUAGUGAAACAGAGACCUGCACACAUAAGUCACUUGUCUUAAAGAGUACAAAACUAGAAACUGAAGAAUAAGAAACAACUUAAAGUCCUGGUUUCACUUGUGUCUGAACAAUCAAUUAAAAGAAUAAAAAAAAAAGUGGAAAAUAGAGUUUGUUUAGUAGUGUUAACUUCUCAGAGGAAUAUCGUCGAACACCUUACAUGCACAAGUCACAGCCGAACAUUACUUUUUCAAGAUUUCAGAUUCUAGAGACAUGAUCAAUCACUCUACUAAAUAUAAUUAAUAAUGGGCUGAGAAAACAAAUUGAACAAAAGAAGGAAAUCAAGAAGCUAUCACAAACCCUACAAAUUCAAAAUCAAGAAACAAACGAAGACGAUAACCUAUUCAGAGAUAAAAGAAAUCAAAGCUUACAGUUAACGGGAGAUGAAACUUGAGCAAAUCAAGAGACUGUUGCGACGAGAAAUUUCCAGAGCGCCAAAGAUCAACCAACUAAGAAAGAAAGGACUGGAACGAACGAGGGAAGGAGGAUAUUUAGUACGAGUUGGGCUUUUAAGUCGGUCCAUUUAUUAUGGGCUUUUUACUUUGGGCUUACAAACUCUUCAUCAAACCAAACCAAACCGGUUAGCAAUGUAAAAUCUAUGGCUCAAACCAAACCAGGUUAAAGCAGCAAUUUGAGUUGCGACUAAAAGUGUCGGUCUCAGUCUCGGUCUCUGUCUCAGACCCAAUUUUUAUUUGAUCAGCCGUUAGCUUUGACUUCUGACUAGCAUAACGUGACUUUGUUGCUCCAAUGGUACACAAUAUACUUCUUUUUUUAAUUAGUAUAUUUUUUCUAUAUUUCCCUCUGAGAUAGUAUAACUCUUUAGAUUUACUCCAUAGUUCAUUCUAAUAAAAUUAUUCUAUAAUAGAGUCAUAUUUUCACAGAAAAUAUAGAUCAUUUUUUUCUGUGCCGCGAAUAGAGUGCUGAUCUUUAAAACAUUUGUAUGCGAAGAAUGGGGUAUUCCAAUGUGGAGUUCCAUACAUGGUUAGCCUUCUACGAAUGGUAAGGCUGCAUGACAAAGUUGUGCCAAGGCUUCUCAGACCUUUGGUAGUCUCAACAACAAUCUAUUUCAUUUGCUCUGAGAGAAACAAGCGCUAUCAUGUUAAUAUCUCAUCGCAGCCAACAAUCAUUUUCAAGCUGGUUGACCGUUUCAUUACAAAUGCACUUCUAUUCAUAAGAAAUCAAAAACAAAGCUGCGGACUGAUGCAAGUAUGCAACAUUGGCUUUCCAGAGAAUAAAAACCAUAGUCUGAACCAACCAGUUGUAAUAUUUACAAACCGACUCCACCCAUUUUAAUGGAAUUUACAUAUUUGGCAAAAAAAAAUACAAGUCAAGAGGCGGACAUAUGUACUUAUUUUUUUAUUAGAAACAAGAGUUUUAAAUAAACUGAUUUUUUUCAUAAAAUUUAAAGUAAUUAUUUAUAAAAAUCAAAAUUAAGCAUGCCACUGAAUAUAAAACUAUGUAAAUGCUAAUCUAGCUAGAUGUUGUGGAUGAUUUGUUGAACUUUGUAGAAAUGAUGCUGAUAAAAAUGUUUUAAAUGAUCUGAUGUAACUAGGGAUUCUUUUUGUUUUAUUUUGUAAUAAAUGAAGAAAAAUAUUUCUACCAUUAUAAUUGUUUUAUACAUCUUAGAAAAUAAGGUGUUCGUUAGAUCCCAACAAUGAUUUUUAAUUGGAUUAUAAUUAAAUUAAAAAUUAACAAAGCAUAGUUAGUAAAUUUAAAAGUUGUAAAAAAAGUUAUAAAGAUAUCACGUACAACAUCAUUUUCCGUAACAUUCCAAAUAUCUUAUUUUCGAAAAGGAUUCUGAUCUGAUCUGGAUCCCGAAUAAUAAGUCUUAACCCUAUUCCUAACAAAUGGUAAAUAAUUCUGAUAAGAGUUUGGGAGAGUAAUCUUAAUUCAGUAGGGCAACAACUAAUAAAUGUGGUUAUUUAUUGCAAAACAAGUUAAAAAUACCUAAUUUUUUUCAGCCCCCAUAGUUUUGUCCUUUUUUUAAAGAUGCAGUUCGUUGAGGCUUUAUUAAGUCCUCGAAACACGUAUCAACGUACAAGGUUACAUGCACAGGACAAAAUAUAAUAACAACAUUUCUUCCCUUCACUCUCUUCAAGCUUCUUUAAUGUCGGCUCUUCAAUGUCUCACUUUCCUCUUCUUGUUUCUCCUUCUCCAAGUCGCUACUCCUGCCUCGCCUCUCCCUCUUGACCGGAGAAGGCGGGUUCUGGACAACAGCAACCACAGCAACUUCGCCAAGCAUCCACGUCGGGUGGUUUUCCCGGUGAACAGAGGUAGCUGUGAUCUUUUCGCCGGCGAGUGGGUACGGGAUGAGACCUACCCACUUUACCGAGCGGAAGAAUGCGGCGGAGGAAUGAUAGAUCCGGGAUUCGACUGCCAGACUUACGGCAGACCUGACUCUGAUUAUCUCAAGUUCCGGUGGAAACCUUUCAAUUGCGACGUCCCAAGGUUAACAAAACUCACUAUCACUAGCUAUUUUAUUAGAAUUGUACGUACGUCGAUUAAGUUAAUGUAAGUAUAAUUAUCCUGCUUUUAAGGAACAUUUUUAUGGAAAUUAAGAGGGGGUGGUAGAGUGUUUAUAUAGAGGGUUUGGUGCACCGCCUUAUUUUCCUUAUUCGUUUAGGUUAAUGCAAUUUCUCGUUUUUACUUACCUUUUCCCUCAAGUAAUUACAGACUGAAAACUUUGAAAGUAUUCUCAUAUAUUUUAAAUCGAAUAUUAAAUUGUAUUAUUUCAGCUUUCCCUUUUCUCUCUUGUUUGUUGUCGUAAACUGCCCUUUCAAUAUUCCUGUUAAAUGAUGAUAUAUUAAUUUAUUUGCUUAAUAUUUUUAAAAAAUAGUAGAAUCAUUUUUAAUGAACCGUAACGUCUGAUUCCUCCACCACCUCCAAGCAAGAACCUUGAAUUCAAAUCCUGCGACCCUGCUUCUCCAAUAGCUGUGUACAAGACGGGGCCACGAUCUUGUCAAGCUCACUAUAAUUGGAAUCCACUACUUUAUUAGCUCAACGGCCGCUCAUUGUAGUAAGGAUGGGCUUAAGCUUCCAUUAGUAGUCGCACCUGUGGACCAGUUUAAUUACUCAAGCGUAUGCUACCUCAUCAGCACUAAGCAUUCUCUAGUUAUUCGUUUAGUGCUUUUGUUUCGUUUAUUUAAUUCAUCGUCACUGAUAUAACUCGUAGAGUUCUGUUUAUUUUCUUGUUAACCAAAAUACAACAUAAAAUUCACACGAUCAUAUGGUUAUAUCUUUAAUGAAAGCGUCGAUAUUAACAUCUGAAGAACGGCUUUUGCAACAGCUCCACGACAGAUCUCACUGAGAUCACAAGCCCUUCUCCUCAUAUCUUUCACUUCUUCAGUCUCUCCAUCCAUAAACCUUUUCACCAGUUCCUUGACCUCGUCUCUCCUUAUCAACAAUCAUCUUAGCAUUCAAAAACUGAUCCCAGACCAAAGGAAACGUCAGCAUCUGAAAAUGGCCGUGAGUUGUGAGUAGAUCGGAGUGAAGGAAAAUUGAGAGAAUUGUGGCCGACGAAGUCUACAAACAUGCCGCCGGAAUAUUCCUUCGUGUGGCGACUCUCACCGCCCAACGGACGUUAAUGUAGGAGAUGAUUACGGUGGGAGGCGGUGAGUUUAGGCGGUCAAGAAGCCUCUCGAACGGCUCCUCCAAUCUGGUCUAGAGGGCGUCGACGAAGCCGAAGAAGUCAUUGGCCCGGGAGAGUUCGGAAGGGAUAAGAUUGGGGAGAGUGGAGAAAUGGAUUUGGUCGGGUUUCGGGUCGCAUUCGAUGAAGCCGAGCCAUUCUUCAGUGACAACGUAUGUGAUCUGGAGGUUAGGGUCUCGCCGGACGAGGCGUUUGCAGAGGUUGUGGCCUCUUCCUGGCCAAGGCAUGGCCACCACGUGCUGAAAUUUGAAUAGUUGAGGUUAAAUUGGAUCCAUGUGGUAUGAAGUAUGUGAUACUCAGAGCCGGGCUUGAACAUACACCCACGAAACAUUUGAAUGGGGCCCCCAUUUUUGUGGGGCCCCCAUUUUACAAAAAAAAUUUAUUUAUACAUAUAUAUUCAUAUAUAUUUAUAUAUAAAUGUGAAUAUUGAAUUAAAAAUAAACAAAAAUACAUUUAUAUCAUGCAUAAAUUUAACUGAAAGUAACAGGUCUUUUCUUAUUAUAAUUUAAAAAUGAAUACUUUUUUUUUGAUAAACAAUACAAUACAUAAUUCAAACUAAGUUUUGCUAAAAUAAAAAUUAAUAAAAAUAUUAUUAAUCUUUAAAAUAUUUUUUUUUUAAAUAGGGCCCCCAAAACUUCAGGACCGGCUCUGGUGAUACUAAUGCUCACCGAACUGUUAAGGUAAACAAACAAAUGUGGUCAAAUGUUUGGUCAUUGGGUGGUGCUUGUUUACAAUGUUCGACUCUUGGUGUGGGUGGGGAUUUGACUACGUGGCAAGAUUCAAUGCUUUUUUUCUGAAAGUUACUACAAAUAAUAGAAAGUAAUCGAAUGUAUCUUUCUCAUUAACAUUAAAAGUAGAAUGUACAAUACUUUAAUCUAGGUGAGUGUGUGGUCUCUGUACACGUAUAAGCAUCUAAACUAGUCUGUUACAAUAAGUUGAGAGGUCGUUAAGUGUAUACUGAUUGAUAACAAAGUAGAUACUAACAUUUUAUAGAGAACAAGCUUUGGAUUGCUAAGUAACAUAGGUUCAAAGACACUUUUCUACAUUUCAUUGUGUGGCUACGCGUAUAUAGGAGUCUGAACAGCUGUGGAUAUUGCUAUAUAAAUGAAUCAUCACAAUACAGAUAACAAAAUUGAAGAAACCUAAACACUCACGCACCAUGGACCCAAACAAGGCGGAGAUGAGCCGGCUGGAAGCACUGCCUCAAGGUUUGCUUGGAGAAAUUGCCACAACAAAAAAAAAAAAAAAAAAUUGCCACAACAACCUGUUCAUGCAAGGAAUUAUACCUCUCAUCUUUUUUUUUUCCCAAUUAUACCUCUCAUCUUAGGACUACCAUGUUUGCCAAAAUCUAAGCUUCUCACCACUGGUUAAGAAACCAUUACUAGCAACCCGAUACACCGGUUUGAUGUUGAGAUGCUUGGCAAAAAACAACCCAGAAGCCCACUACAUCAGAGGUAUACUCAAAUACUUUCAUUCUGACAGUAACUUCUUGCUCUCCAUCACUUCUCCGUUGCCGCUCGCGCUGGACGCAAAGAAGCUAUAAUCCACAUGUGCAUGGGCAUGUUUGAGAAAGAGCAAAAAAUCCUUGCGCAGCUCAACCGGACUGAUUGCCAUUGUGGAUACUUGCUGGGAAAACAUCAAAGAGUCUCUGAAAGGGAUAAAGGUGCUACGGAAGAAAGCGUAUCUGAAAUCACUUGUGGCAGUGAAAUCACUCCUUUUUUGCUAUCAAGCCGAUAUGACACAACAUGUGCCAAAUGUUUUUGUUACAAACAAAUGUUCAAGUUUAUCUACAUGAUGUAGUUCAUGCAAAAUCUACCCUAUAGAAAGAUAUGGUUACAACUGACAAGAAAUAAGAACUAAGAACAAGGUUUGGAGAGUGAGAGAAUGAGAGCUCGAGGUAGUGGUGGUCGUACCUAGGGUGCUACGUCUCUAGGGUUUCGUAUGUCUCCUCCUCUCUGCGCCUUCCUCCCUUUUAUUCUCAUCCUUCUUCUCUUCUUCUUGUUCCCCAGAUCCCGCAGCUUCCGAGAUCUUCUCCGUGUCUUGUUCUCCGUCGAACUAGCAGCAUCUCGUUUCUCAUGCUGAUGGACUCUUGAUAUUUCUCCUAUCUUAAAUUCACAAUCAUCUCUCCAAGCCAAUACUACCAUCUUCUUUAAAUCUUAGACUCUAACCCUCCCUAGAAUCAGGGCCGGCUCAACAGUGUUAAAGGCCCUAGAGAAAAAAAAAAUUUACCUUCUAAAAUUUAUAUACAUAUAAUGUUUAAAAUAUUUUUAAAAUUUAAUCGUUAAUAUUUUGUAUUUUGUAAUAAAAAUAAAAUUAUAUACAUAUCAAAUAAUAUUGGACCCUUUUUAAUUUUAUUUAUUAUAUUUAUAUUUUUUUAUAUAUAAAAAUAUAGAUUUAUAAGAAAUUGGACCCCUUAAUUAUUAUUAAACGGGGAGACACGGGUUUGGAUCCGGAACGGUCGCACCGCUUGCCCCCGUAAUAAGCCGGCCCUGCAUAAAGUACAGACUAUAACUAGUUGUCUUGUCAGGAGGAUAUCAAUAUAUACAAAUAUUUACCAUAUUUGAGUUAGUGUGCUUAAGCGCCUGCAAAGACAACUCUUUCCUUUACAGCAACUCGAAUCUAUAUAAUACUCACUAAAAUUUGUACUAGUGCGCUUAAGAGCCUCCAAGGAUUCAAAUUUGCGUCAUCAUCGGAGUGUUUGUAAUGACAAUCUACACUUCAAACAACUACUUCCUUAAUGCUGAUCUGUUGCCACUUUAUUUGUUGACGAGGAUGCUUCCAAAUUUGGAUGAGCAUACGUACAUACAUUUACUAUUUAGGUAUACAUUGACUUCUAUAUAUUUAACUUCAAUAAUUAAUACUACUUUUAAACUUUUGUACAUGUCUUUAUUAUUAAUUAAAUAUUAACACUAUAACAAUACUGGUCAUUUUUAUAUUAAUUUAUAUAUAUUUCUCUAUUUUACUAUUUUAUAAUAUUAGUUUUAAAUUUACGUGGAUUUUUUUAUAUUUUAAUAUGCAAUAUUCAGAGAAAGAGAGUUUUUACUACGUGAUUGUGUUUGUUGAUAAAUAACAUAUAUUAUGCGGAAUUUGAAUUUAUAUGAUGAUCAAUUAUUUUACUAAACAAAACCACAAAAUUAUACAUCUGUCCAGGGCAGAUAUUUAGAAAAGAACGACAUAAUUUAAAACAUAUUUUUUUUUUAAAGUUUAAUUUUUUGGACGAAUAAGGUUAAAAAAGGAUCCUUCAAUUUGCGCGGCGGCGAAUAAAAAGGGCGACCACGGUGCUACGCGACUGCGGAAGUGGUUUGCGUGCGAUCUCCCUUGGCUCAUUUUUCUCCGUCUGAAUAAUGACGUCCUCGAAGCGAAAGCGCGACGCCGUGGAAGAUAGUGCCGACGGUAGCGACAAGAGCAGUACCGGGAACAGUUUCUUCGAUAUAUAUGGACCCGAAGUAAACACCUUUUUCCAUGAUUCGAUUGAUUGUUUAUGUUGUCUCUCUGAUUUGAUCUAGAUUCUUCUUCUUCUUCUUCUUGGGCAGGCCAAACCAGAACUCGUUUUCAAGAGUCCCGAAACAACAUUGAACUUACAAGUAUGUUUCACAUGUCAAUACAACUAUUCUAGUUCGAGUCUAUAAUAAUGUAAUAAUCUUGAUGUGGGUUUAAACAGGAUGUUCAGGGACUUGUGACAUGGGUUCUUUCAGAAGGCUAUAUGCCCAAUUGGGUUUUCAUCAAGGUAACGAACUAACAACCAACAACAAAAUUGAAACUUGACAGCUAUGUAUUGAUGGCUUUUUCUUACAUGUGUAAUUAGAUGAUAUUAACGGAAUAUGCUUCUUCUUUUUUUUUUUGGCAGAACAAGCCUCUGAUUCCAAAUGUUGUCAUGCUCUACCUUCCUGGGUUGGAUGCAGCUUUGUACUUAUCACAGUCUAAGGCACUUGCUAAUUUGAAAUCAUGCUGUGGCAAUCCUAUUCCGCUUUUAGCUUUGAGGUUGGUGUUUCUCAUUUCUUGUAGCUUAUUGAUUACAGUUGUUUUUGAUUAGUUGUUGGUAAAACAUUCUUUUGGUUUUCUUCUCAUUGUGUUAGCUGUGUAGUUGAUGAGAUGAAGACGAUCGAUACGCUACUUACUUGCAAGGGUAAAAAGAAGAAGAAAACUCUUACUCAUUCAGUGGAACUACCUCUCCUGGUAUCUAAGCCAGGUAGUAGAAAAUAUAUAGAGUUUCAGUUUUAACAAUCUUUCUCCUAACAUAAGGCCCUAGCAAGAUAACAUCUUUCGCUUGUAGAAGCAUGCAAUCUGGUGGGUAAAUCAUUCACAGAGCUCACAAAAGAUAUACCAUUCCCUGUUUCAUACUACACUCUAAGUCAAAAGGAAAUGGAACAAAAUGGAUACAAUUUUAAGACAGGUACGAUCUCCAGCUAUUUAAGAACUACAGCUUAAUCAUGUUUAAGCUGUUGUUUUUUUCGUCAUACAGAGUUUAUUUCUACACUUCCUGCACCAUCAAGAUCAUCUCCCCAUGAAAUUUUGGCUCUUGAUUGCGAGAUGGUAAACAACUAUCUUCUCUAGCCUUUGAUAAUAAUGAUGCUCUGUGAGAAUAUUUGACUUUGUCAAAACAUAUAGACAGUUUUUAAUCAUCUUGUAAACCAAUAUAUGAUUGGUUUUCAUUUCCUUUCACCGUAGUGUACCACAAAAGAUGGUUUGGAGUUGACAAGAGUGACGCUUGUGGAUAUCCAUGGACAGGUAUCUUCUUCCUUACUUCUUUAAGUUUUUCCGAUUUUCUUCUUUACUGUUACUAAGUUGCCAUGAUAGUGCAGGUUCUAUUAGAUAAAUUAGUCAAGCCAACAAACCAUAUUACAGAUUACCUUACAAUGUAAGCCAUGCUGAUAUACUUUGUUCUGUUUCUAGUACGUCUUAAAAGGCAUGCCUAAAGAACACUAUUGGUAUCCGGUUUACAGGUACAGUGGAAUAACAGCUGAGAUGAUGGAGGGAGUAACAACAACUAUUAAAGAUAUUCAGGUUUUCACAAGAUCCUUUUAACAUACAGUUUAGGAGGUUUGGGUUGAAGAGUUGUUGUAAUCGGUUUAGUAUAAAUAAGAGCUGUUUGCUAUGUUCAGGAAGAGUUCUUAAAGCUGGUUUUCGAAGAGACAGUAUUAGUCGGACACUCCUUGGAGAAUGACUUGUAUUCUCUGAAGAUCUCUCAUAACCUGGUGAUUGACACUUCAGUGCUAUACAAGCAUCCACGGUCUGGAUCUUAUAAACCUAAACUUCGAGUUCUAUCGAAAAAGUUUCUUGCUAGAGAGAUACAGAUGUCUGAAUCCGGACAUGACAGCGUAGAGGAUGCAAAGGCAGCCAUGGAUUUGGCACUAAUGAAGAUAAAGUAUGGUAAGAGAUUCAAUCUUUUUCUCUUCUUUUUUUUGUAUCCUUUGAAGUGAUUUUCUUUCUUUUUUUUUCUGGCUUCCUCUAGGACCUGACUUUGGUUCACCACCGGAGAUGAUGAGAAAGAAGCUCCUUGACAUUUUAAACGAGAGCAGGAAAACCACUUGUAUUGUAGACAGUAUCAACAUUGUAAAGAGAUAUGCCUCUGAGUCAUCAAGUUCAGUUCCAGUUUCUUCUGAUGACGAAGCACUUUCAAAGGCCAUGAAGGAGGUAAAAAACCUUCUGAAUCCAUCCAUGCUCAUCAUCCUAAGAGUUAAUGCAUGUGUGUCUUCUAGGUAAAGAAGAGGGGAUCACAAUUCGUCUGGACACAAUUCUCAGAACUAAAUACACAUUUCCAGAACAGAGCGGAUGAUCCAGAGAAACUAAAUUCCAGACUAGCAGAGAAGAUCUCGUUGCUGACAUGUAGCGAUGAUGAUUCAGGCCUCAAGAAACGCCGCAAAAGCAAGGUUUCACCUGAAACGAAGGAGAUCUUAAAGAAGAUGGAUGAAAGAGUCAAUGCCCUUCACGCAGCAUUACCAACAAAUGCAAUGUUUAUAGUUUGUACCGGACAUGGAGACACAUCCAUUGUACACAGGUUUGUAUCUCACUUUGUUCAAGAAACAGAUACAAUAUCACAAUAGAUACAAUGUGACAUUGAGUUUGCGAUCUGAUUGAAUUUCUUUUACUGUCUGUUUCUUUAUCGUGUGCAUGAAGAGUGCGGAAAAUGCUUAUAGACGAGGGUGAAAAUGAGUUUAGCCGUGAGAAAGUUGUGAAGGUUCUUGAAGAGCUUCAGGCACAAGCCGAAGUAGCGCUCUGUUUUGUAGGUAUCAAGCAAUAAGCAUACACACACAGUCGCCCAAAUUAUCCUUUGUAUACCUUAUGAGCAGAGCACUCAAUAGAGACAUUCGUUAGCUUCAGUUCAGUCAUUUUAAAUUUUAAUUCUUCUUUAACAUAAUUGGUUUAUUACUCUACAAGCAUUUCUAUUUAUGGCCUUUCAGAGAGCUAUUUAAAUGAUUAAAUGGUUAUAGACUACAAUUUCUCUCUUUCAGUUUUGUGAUUUUUACACAUUUUAAAGAAUUAAAUUUAUAAUACCAAAAAACCUUCUUUAGUACCAUGAUUUCAAAAUGGUUCAAUUCAUUUUAAUAUUAAUUUGUUUAAUUAAUAUGAGCAAAAAAAAAACAAGCUUUGUAUUGAAAACAAAAAUAAAAAUUUCAAAAACUUCUAUCUUUUUUAAACAGCUAGAGCAUCUCAUUACAAAAAUCUUACAUGAGUUGUAAAAAAGGUAACAAAUUUACAACAUUAACAUUAUAACAAAAAAGUAUCUCAAAAUUUAAGAUAAACAUUCAAAAGGUUUUUAAAUUAAAAAAAAACUAAUUUUAUUUAUUAAAUAACAAUAUUAAGAUAUUCAUUUAUUGUAAUGUUAUUAUCUUUAGUUACCAAUGUAUUUUGGGAAUCUAUGUGUAAGAUCUAGGAUGCGACGUAUAAAUACGGUCUCACAGUAUAUAUAUCAAUCAGAGAGUCACCGUUAGCGCCAAAUUCCGCUAGUAUCCUCAAGACAACCUACAUCGAACGAUCCAAACCGUUGAUAACCCCCUUAUCAUCUCAGCCGUUAGAUUUGGUCAUCAAUUUAUUCAAAAUAUCCCUUAGAGAGUUCGAGACGAAGAGCAAACGAUUUGAUUUGAAAAACAAAAAAACAACUUCUUCCAGCUGAAGCCUUCAGCAAAAAUCUCUCUGAUCCUCCGUUUGAAUUUUUCCCUCUUAAUGGAGAAAUCGGAUCAUGAUCUGAGUUCUCACCAGAACCCUUUGGCGCACCAAUUGGACUUCUCCGUCCCGGCGGCGGCUGCGGCUGCGGCUGUGGAAACGAAGAUGAUCGAUUCUUCUCAGGAAACUGAGAAGAAGCUUUCGCAGUCGCCUCUGGAAGAUCAAAGAGACGAAGACUUGCCUUCGCAGCCUUCAGGUACCGAGGAGCAACAUCGAUUAGGGGUGAAGUCGCUGGAAGAGCCGGUUAGAUCUUGGCAGCCAUCAGCGACGGAAGAUGCCACGACGACACAGAAACCUCCGAUGCAUCGGCUUGGUCAUCCAUUGGGGAAGUGCCGAGUGAGGUACGAUUACAAUUUACAAACCAUUGAUUAUAGUUUUCAAAUUUUGAUUCGAAGUUUUUGAUUUGGGGAGAAUGUGCGAUGGAGUUAGUUAAGGUUUUUUGAUUGUUUAUGCAGCAAGCAAGAGCCUCUGACACCACUAGGGCAGCGUACGGAAGCUGAGUCCAAGGACGGGACUCCGAAUAAGCAGAAGCAUUGCAACUGUAAAGCUUCUAGAUGCUUGAAGCUGUAAGUGUGCAUCUUUGUUUAUUAAAAGCCUUUGUAAUUUGUGGUGAUGAUCAAAGAGACUUAAUGACUUAGACCAUAGUUUUUUUUUUUUUGAAUUUUGAAGGUUUGAUGUUAUUAUGUGUACAGGUAUUGUGAGUGCUUUGCGUCGGGAUCGUAUUGCAAUGGUUGCAACUGCGUGAAUUGUCAAAACAAUUUGGAGAAUGAGUCCGCAAGACAAGAAGCCAUCACCGGGACUUUAGAGCGCAAUCCUGAUGCCUUCAAGCCUAAGAUUGCUGGUAGUCCUCACGGAAUCAAUGAUUUGCAGGUGUGUGAUCUUGUUACUUAGCUAAUACUUAAAUGAUUUUUUUUUUUAUCUCCCAAAAUGUUUAACGUCACCCCUGAUUAGUUAGGAGUUAAACACUAAAACAAACAUUUGAAAGCUUGAGUUAAUGCUCUGAAAAUUUGUUUCCCAGUGACAAAUGUUGUUAUCAACUGCCAAAGAGAAAGUGUCAAGCAACGAUCUUUUUUAAAAAAUUAUUCAUUUGCUGAUAAUUUUGUAAAAUCUCCGGUGUGGGGACUAUCUCAUACUGGCUUGUAGGAGGAUGUGCGCCAACUCCUGAUUCUUGGAAAGCACAGCAAAGGAUGCCACUGCAAGAAAUCAGGAUGCCUCAAGAAGUACUGCGAGUGUUACCAGGCCAAUGUCUUUUGUUCAGAGAAUUGUAGAUGCCAGGAUUGCAAGAACUUUGAAGGAAGCGAAGAAAGAAGUGCCCUUCUCCAUGGAUCGCAUCAUGUCUCAGAAACCUACAUACAACAGACGACCAAUGCUGCUCUCAGCCGCGCCGUCUCCACGUCUGGUUUUCUGAACACUCCUGAAUCAAGAAAGAGAAAGAGCAAGGACGCUUCAUCUGCGGUUCCGCACCUUGUCCAAAAUCAGGCGGUAAAAUUUCCGAACUAUACGAUCCCUUGUGUUAAAUGUGAUGGUUAGAUGUUGAUCUCAUACUCUUUACGUUCACUUCUUGCAUUAAAAGCAUGAUUCUUUGUGUGUUUUUCUGUUCCAACUAGGUGAAUCGCGUUAUAAGGAAUGGUGACACUUCUCUCUUUUCAAUCCCUAACAACAAAGCAGUGUCUGGAUCUCCCACAUGUACUUACAGGUUGGCGAUAUCAACUCCUUCCUUUUGUAUGAUAUGCACAUUCAAAACUAGCGUGAUACCAUCUUAAGGAUUUAUCUGACUGUUUACUUCUAUAGGUCGUCUCUGUCAAAUACUAUCCAGCCGCGUCAUGUCAAAGACCUAUGUACGCUUUUGGUUGCAACAUCGUUAGAUGUAGCAAAUAAAUAUUCAGGUACAUAUCUCAUGCUGUUAGACAUAGAGGAGAGUAUAUUCCUCAUAUAAGAAGACAUAUAUGUUAAGAGAAUUUCUGAUAUGGAAACAGACAAAAGGAGGAAACAUGAGAAAGACCCUUCACUUGAUCCAGCCCAGAGAGAUGCUAAUGAGAUCAAUGACUCUCCAGAUUGUGUCCUUGACUCCACUAGAAUGGACGAGAAGCCUUUAUCUCCAGCAACACGUGCAUUGAUGUGUUAUGAUGAACAUGUAAUAACAUCAGAGAAAGAGACAUCUGCCGGGGUGAAAACAAGCCAAGAGAAAGAAGACGCAGACACAAGCUCGGAGAUUUACUUAGAGAAAGAAAGACAGAUCUUGUCGAGCUUCAGGGACUUUCUCAUUCAGCUCUCAAACCGUGGGAGCAUAAAAGGUAAGCUGAUUAUCGCAUGAGAGACUGUAUACUUGUUAAACCAAUUCGAGCUUGGAGAUGUGCUAAUUUGGAGACAUUGAUUAAGCAGGAACAAAUAUCAAAACCAACACAAAUCCAAGUAGAAAGGAACCACAAGAUGAAGAGCAAAGUCAUCGAGACUCAAGUUUGGGGUAAUGCUUUAGGGAACUCCAUUCUCUCUUUAACAUAGAUCAUGUCACAUAUACAUGAAAAUCAGAUUAGAUUUAAGUUUUUUUUCCUGCUGGUAAACAAAACUCUUUUUUAACAGUUACAUUAGUGCUAAUGCACUAGAUUUCAUUCAUACAUUGGUUCGAAGAUUUUGAGUAACUUGUGUCUAGUUGAAUAAAAUUGUUACCUUACAUAUGAAUUGUUAAUAAUGUAUUCAUUUUCCCAAAUUAUUUUCCAUUACAUAUCCAAAGAAAACGAGUUAUAUAACCCGAUGACAUAAGAAAAGGAAAGCAAGAGAGGAUCAUCCUUUCUUAGGCAUAGCGGCGAGGCGUGUGUACAUGCGUGCCAUUGAAUUGAACCCUCUCACAUCUCCAGAUCUUAGAAGGUUACCUUCAUUAUAGCCAGCAAAACCCCAAACAAAAGAAGAUCAAACCAGAUUCUUCGUGAUACGCAAUUGCAUAAUAGUAUACACACUGAAUAGAUCUUGUACCUGAGUCGCAGUUGAGAGGACUGUCCGCCUCAGGAUGAGCCAUCAACGCUAUGAUCGCUCUACACACAGACUGAAGCGUCCACGCAGGGCUCCACGCGUUCUUCAAUAUGUCAAGACAUAUUUCUCCAGUCUACAGAACACAAAAAAAUGGACAUUAAGAAGCAAUCUUUCGCCGGAGAUUCAUUCACAUCAGUGUUUUCAUUUACCUUGAAAUGCACAUUGGGAUGGAAUAUCUUGGUCAAGAACCGCACUUGAGGAGGCUGCAGAGGAUACGGCUCGGGAACGGCAAACGCAAGCUGAAACACUCCGCCUUCAUAAGGAGUCUCGGACGGUCCCUAAAAAGAUACAAAGACCAGUUAAAACUUAAAAGACAAAAACCAAAGCUUUCAUCUUUUAAACCCAAAAAAGGAAAGCUUGUAUGAGAGAACCUUGAUAAGUGCAGUCCAUUUGAAAAUGUUUGUAUCAUCACACACCAAUUGGAUAUCAGGAUCAGCUACUUUCUCUCGCUGAACCUCUUUGUAUUCCUUGAACAGUCUCGCUCGUGAUUGCUAAUACAUUAAACCCAGAUUUCAGACACUACUAUCGUGAAUCCAAUAUCAACUACACAACAUUACAUAGAUUGGUAAUAGAGAUAUGGAUUAAAAGGUGAAACCUGCAUGUCUGAAUGAUGCUAGAGAGACACAAUUUGCCCAAAGAAGACGAUCACGCCAACUGCAAAAUGAAACUAAUUCUUCAACAAGAUGAGAUUUUUAGCAAAAACCCAGCACAGAACACACGAAACUACUUCACAUGGAUCGAUUAAACGCAGAUCCGUAAAUCUAAAGUGAAGUAUCAAUCUGUGUAGUUUGAGAUCGGCACAAAUCAUCAGCAAAUGGAGAAAAUUUGAUGCAUAGAAACGAAGUCAUAUCAUAUGAAAGGACGCGAAUUUCGAAAUCAAGGAGAAUCAAUGAAUGAAGCUUUUACCUUCGCAAGAGGGAGAGAGAGAGAGAAGGAGGACGAAAGAAGAAACGGCGAUGAGAUGAGAACUUUCACGGCGUGAAGCUUUCUAUGGUUAGACUAAGAAUAAACCGGUCUACUCUAUUUAUGUAAUUCCGGUUUAAAUAAAACUAAUCAAUUUCAAUUAAACCAAACCAAAUUUAGACCAGAUUAAACCGGUUAUCGAUCCUAAGUAAGCCCUAGCUUUUAACCUUCUCCUCUCCUUCUCCUUCUCCUUCUCCUUCUCCUUCUCCUCUUUCCGUCUCUCUUCUCAUUAUCCUUCAGCUCACCAGCGAAAGAGAGAAGAAGGUAGAUUAGAUUCUCCAAAAACAUGACGACCACCUACGACUUCGAAGACACUCCGUCAAACUACGACGACGUCCAGCGUCAGGGCGGCCAGGACGCCGUCUACGACCCGAACUUCGUGCCGGACUCCGUCAAGUCCUUCGUGGUUCACAUGUACAGACACAUCAGGGAGAAGAACGUCUACGAGAUCCACCAGAUGUGCGAGACGUCGUUCCAGACCUUGUCUGAGCGGCUCUUCAAGGACACCCCUUGGCCUUCCGUGGAAGCGAUCGCUCCUUAUGUGGACAACGAUCACGUCUUCUGUCUUUUGUACCGUGAGAUGUGGUUCAGACACUUGUACGCGAGGCUGUCGCCGACGCUGAAGCAGAGGAUUGAUUCCUAUGAUAACUACUGCAGCCUGUUUCAGGUGUUUGUUUCUCUUGGAUUUAGAUUUAGAUUGGUCUCAAUUGAACUAGGUUAGGCCUGUGAUUAGAUUCGGUUAAGUCAUAUACUGUUCUGGUAAUGGAUUGGGGUUAAAUUAAGAUUCUUUUGAUUUAUUGAUGUUCAAAAGUUUCUCUCUUUAUUGUUAUGGUUGUCUGAAAACAGUAGUUGAAUGUGUAGGUGGUGUUGCACGGUGUAGUGAACAUGCAGCUACCAAACCAGUGGCUGUGGGACAUGGUGGAUGAGUUUGUCUACCAGUUCCAAAGCUUCUGUCAGUACAGAGCCAAGAUGAAGAACAAGACAGAGCAGGAGAUUGCAUUGCUCAAACAGAACGACAAGGUAUUAAUUUUCUUUUGCCGGACUCCGUCAAGUCCUUCGUGGUUCACAUGUACAGACACAUCAGGGAGAAGAACGUCUACGAGAUCCACCAGAUGUGCGAGACGUCGUUCCAGACCUUGUCGGAGCGGCUCUUCAAGGACACCCCUUGGCCUUCCGUGGAAGCGAUCGCUCCUUAUGUGGACAACGAUCACGUCUUCUGUCUUUUGUACCGUGAGAUGUGGUUCAGACACUUGUACGCGAGGCUGUCGCCGACGCUGAAGCAGAG